UACGGAGGGAGCUAGCGUUGUUCGGAAUUACUGGGCGUAAAGCGCGCGCAGGCGGCUAUCCAAGUCAGUGGUGAAAGCCCGGAGCUCAACUCCGGAACUGCCAUUGAAACUGUUUAGCUUGAGGACGAGAGAGGUGAGUGGAAUUCCCAGUGUAGAGGUGAAAUUCGUAGAUAUUGGGAAGAACACCGGUGGCGAAGGCGGCUCACUGGCUCGUAUCUGACGCUCAGGCGCGACAGCGUGGGGAUCAAACAGG
rnacentral:rRNA from 1 species